rnacentral:rRNA from 1 species
GAGUUUGAUUAUGGCUCAGAACGAACGCUGGCGGCGCGUCUUAAGCAUGCAAGUCGAACGGUAAGGGAGAGCUUGCUCUCCCCUAGAGUGGCGGACUGGUGAGUAACGCGUGGGUGACCUGCCCUGAAGAUGGGGAUAGCUAGUAGAAAUAUUAGAUAAUACCGAAUGUGCUCAUUUACAUAAAGGUAAAUGAGGAAAGGAGCUACGGCUCCGCUUCAGGAUGGGCCCGCGUCCCAUUAGCUGGUUGGUGAGGUAAAGGCCCACCAAGGCAACGAUGGGUAUCCGGCCUGAGAGGGUGAACGGACACAUUGGGACUGAGAUACGGCCCAAACUCCUACGGGAGGCAGCAGCUAAGAAUCUUCCGCAAUGGACGAAAGUCUGACGGAGCGACGCCGUGUGAAUGAAGAAGGCCGAAAGGUUGUAAAAUUCUUUUGCAGAUGAAGAAUAAAACACAGGAGGGAAUGCCCCUGUGAGAUGA